AACGAACGCUGGCGGCGUGCCUAACACAUGCAAGUCGAACGUGAUUAGAGAGCUUGCUCUCUAUGAAAGUGGCGCACGGGUGAGUAACGCGUAGAUAGUCUACCUGAUGAUCCGGGAUAACACUUCGAAAGGGGUGCUAAUACCAGAUAAGCCCACGGGGUCCUUGGACUCUGAGGGAAAAGGAGGGGACUUUCGGGCCUUCCGUCAUCAGAUGAGUCUGCGUACCAUUAGCUAGUUGGUAGGGUAAAGGCCUACCAAGGCGACGAUGGUUAGCUGGUCUGAGAGGAUGAUCAGCCACACUGGAACUGAGACACGGUCCAGACUCCUACGGGAGGCAGCAGUGGGGAAUUUUGCGCAAUGGGGGAAACCCUGACGCAGCAACGCCGCGUGAGUGAUGAAGGCCCUUGGGUCGUAAAGCUCUGACAGAGGGAAAGAAGUGUAUUGUGGCUAAUAUCCACGAUACUUGACGGUACCCUCAAAGGAAGCACCGGCUAACUCCGUGCCAGCAGCCGCCGUAAUAC
rnacentral:rRNA from 1 species